GACGAACGCGGCGGCGUGCCUAAUACAUGCAAGUGGGACGCAAGGAAACACACUGUGCUUGCACACCGUGUUUUCUUGAGUCGCGAACGGGUGAGUAACGCGUAGGUAACCUGCCUAUUAGCGGGGGAUAACUAUUGGAAACGAUAGCUAAUACCGCAUAAUAUUAAUUAUUGCAUGAUAAUUGAUUGAAAGAUGCAAGCGCAUCACUAGUAGAUGGACCUGCGUUGUAUUAGCUAGUUGGUAAGGUAAGAGCUUACCAAGGCGACGAUACAUAGCCGACCUGAGAGGGUGAUCGGCCACACUGGGACUGAGACACGGCCCAGACUCCUACGGGAGGCAGCAGUAGGGAAUCUUCGGCAAUGGACGAAAGUCUGACCGAGCAACGCCGCGUGAGUGAAGAAGGUUUUCGGAUCGUAAAGCUCUGUUGUAAGUCAAGAACGUGUGUGAGAGUGGAAAGUUCACACAGUGACGGAGCUACCAG
rnacentral:rRNA from 1 species